rnacentral:sRNA from 2 species
GUUUUGGAUAGUUACUCAGUUUAUAAAUUCCAGAGUGAAUGAGUGUGCAUUCACACAAAUAUGCUUCUUCUAGUUAUCUACCCAGUCCAUUAUUUCAGAACUGCAAGAAAGCUCCUUUUUAGAUCAAUCAUUCAAUAGGAAUGAAUUAGAUGUCUAUUAUUGAUAUAUUCUACCUCAUUCACAGAGCAAAUCAACAGAGAGAGUGCUAAAAAUAUGGAAAAGCAUGAAGUGUGUCUUCCCUGGCCUGAUUUUUACAGUUGGCAGAGGGGAGUAUGUUCCUGGAUGGCAUGGAACUGAGGAC